rnacentral:misc_RNA from 1 species
UUGUGGAGGAGGACGCCGAAGGUGGGGCUAAUGACUGGGGUGAAGUCGUAACCAAGGUAGCCGUACCGGAAGGUGCGGCUGGAUCACCUCCUAACAGGGAGACAAAACUGAUUAUGAUGCCUGAAUUAAAAAUAUUUAGGUCGUAAUCCUGUCACCUUAGGUCGAUCGGUACCUCAGUUGAAUUUCUCAUAAAUUGUUUAUUCAAUUUGUUAGUUGUUUGAAUCAGUUCCUAAACUUUGUCUAGGUCACACCCAGCAAUGGUUUCUCCUGGNCCAUUAGCUCAGGUGGUUAGAGCGCACCCCUGAUAAGGGUGAGGUCCCUGGUUCAAGUCCAGGAUGGCCCAUUCGGUGUUGGGGGUAUAGCUCAGUUGGUAGAGCGCCUGCUUUGCAAGCAGGAUGUCAGCGGUUCGAGUCCGCUUACCUCCACUGAUCAACCUCCUGAUAACGAAAUUGAAGGAGAAUGUUUUUAGUGUGAUCUAGAAUUUGUUCAUAAUGAAUGAACCUAGCUUCUUGUCAUUCCUUCUAAAAUAAUUUUUGGAUAAGGCUGAUAGGACGCUGGGCUCGCUGCAAUUUAAUUGCAGAGAACUUCAGUAGAACCUUGACAACUGCAUAGGUGAGUCUGGAAAGAAUAAAGCAUCUCAUGGAUGCAUUAAUUCUUUAUAGUUAUAAUCGAUUUCUGAGUUACUCAGAAAUUUAAUUAUGACUUGGGAGUUAAUGUUUAAUUCUUGAGCAAGAGCUGAGACUCUUUAACGUCCUUUCUUUGUUUUUAAACAUUGAGAGUUUGAUUUUUGAUUUUUACUUAAUUUAUUAACUCGAAAUCAAGAAGAAAGUGCUAACAACAUAUGGCGUUUUAGAGAUUAUAUGGUCAAGCUACAA